rnacentral:rRNA from 3 species
GGACUACAGGGGUAUCUAAUCCCGUUCGCUCCCCUGGCUUUCGCGCCUCAGCGUCAGAUGGGGUCCAGCACCUCGCCUUCGCCACCGGAGUUCCUGUGGAUAUCAACGCAUUUCACCGCUCCACCCACAGUUCCAGAUGCCCCUACCCCCCUCGAGGCCGCCCGUAUCCGAGGCCGUUCUCCCGUUGAGCGGGAGGCUUUCACCCCGGACGCGGCAGCCCGCCUACGCGCCCUUUAAGCCCAGUGAUUCCGAACAACGUUCGCACGGUUCGUCUUACCGCGGCUGCUGGCAC